rnacentral:misc_RNA from 1 species
AAGUCGUAACAAGGUUUCCGUAGGUGAACCUGCGGAAGGAUCAUUACAGUGUUCGCUGCCCUCACGGGUAGCAAACCUCACCCUUGUGUAUUAUAUCUUUGUUGCUUUGGCACGCCGCCUUCGGGUACCGGCUUCGGCUGGCUCGCGCGUGUCAGAGAACCUAAAACUCUGAAUGUUAGUGUCGUCUGAGUACUAUCUAAUAGUUAAAACUUUCAACAACGGAUCUCUUGGUUCUG